rnacentral:rRNA from 1 species
UUGGAGGGCAAGUCUGGUGCCAGCAGCCGCGGUAAUUCCAGCUCCAAUAGCGUAUAUUAAAGUUGUUGCAGUUAAAAAGCUCGUAGUUGAAUUUCGGGGUUCUACCGUUGGUCGGGCUUUGUCUGUACUGGUGUGUAGAAUUUCUACCUUCUGGGGAACCAUCAUGCUAUUAAUUUAGCGUGGUGGGAAACCAGGACCUUUACCUUGAAAAAAUUAGUGUGUUCAAAGCAGGCUUAUGACUGAAUACAUUAGCGUGGAAUAAUAGAAUAGGACGGUGGUCCUGUUUUGUUGGUUUCUGAAUCACCGUAAUGAUUAAUAGGGAUAGUUGGGGGCAUUAGUAUUCAAUUGUCAGAGGUGAAAUUCUUGGAUUUAUUGAAGACUAACUUCUGCGAAAGCAUUUGCCAAGGAUGUUUUCAUUAAUCAAGAACGAAAGUUAGGGGAUCGAAGACGAUCAGAUACCGUCGUAGUCUUAACCAUAAACUAUGCCGACUAGGGAUCGGACGAUGUUAAUUUUUCUUGACUCGUUCGGCGCCUUACGGGAAAC